UACGGAGGGUGCAAGCGUUAUCCGGAUUCACUGGGUUUAAAGGGUGCGUAGGUGGGUUGGUAAGUCAGUGGUGAAAUCUCCGUGCUUAACAUGGAAACUGCCAUUGAUACUACUGGUCUUGAAUUUUCCGGAGGUAAGCGGAAUAUGUCAUGUAGCGGUGAAAUGCUUAGAUAUGACAUAGAACACCUAUUGCGAAGGCAGCUUACUACGCAUAUAUUGACGCUGAGGCACGAAAGCGUGGGGAUCAAACAGG
rnacentral:rRNA from 1 species